AUUGAACUCUGGCGGCAGGCCUAACACAUGCAAGUCGAACGAGUGGCGGACGGGUGAGUAAUGUCUGGGAAACUGCCCGAUGGAGGGGGAUAACUACUGGAAACGGUAGCUAAUACCGCAUACCAUCGGAUGUGCCCAGAUGGGAUUAGCUUGUAGGUGAGGUAACGGCUCACGUAGGCGACGAUCCCUAGCUGGUCGGAGAGGAUGACCAGCCACACUGGAACUGUGAAACGGUCUAGACGCCUACGGGAGGCAGGAGGAGGGAAUAUUGCACAAGGGGCGCAAGGCUGAAGCAGCUAUGCGGCGUGAAUGAAGAAGGCCUUCGGGUUGGAAAGUACUUUCAUCAGGGAGGCGUUACCCGCAGAAGUAGCAUCGGCUAACUCCGUGCCAGACGCCGCGGUAAUAC
rnacentral:rRNA from 1 species